AUUGAACGCUGGCGGCAUGCUUUACACAUGCAAGUCGAACGGCAGCGCGGGCUUCGGCCUGGCGGCGAGUGGCGAACGGGUGAGUAAUGCAUCGGAAUGUGCCCAGUAGUGGGGGAUAGCACGGCGAAAGCCGGAUUAAUACCGCAUACGACCUGCGGGUGAAAGCGGGGGACCGAAAGGCCUCGCGCUAUUGGAGCGGCCGAUGUCGGAUUAGCUAGUUGGUGGGGUAAAGGCUUACCAAGGCGACGAUCCGUAGCUGGUCUGAGAGGACGACCGGCCACAUUGGGACUGGGACAGGGCCAAGACUCCUACGGGAGGCAGCAGUGGGGAAUUUUGGACAAUGGGGGCAACCCUGAUCCAGCCAUGCCGCGUGCGGGAAGAAGGCCUUCGGGUUGUAAGCCGCUUUUGUUCGGGGAGAAAUCCUCUGGGCUAAUACCCCGGGGGGAUGACGGUACCGGAAGAAUAAGCACCGGCUAACUACGUG
rnacentral:rRNA from 1 species